rnacentral:rRNA from 1 species
GGGGAGUUGUCAACAAAGCGUUUAUCCGAGGAUGUCCGAAUGGGGGAACCCAGCACCGGUUGUGUGGUGUUACCUGCAGAUGAAUGCAUAGUCUGUGUGGAGGUUGACGCGGGGAAGUGAAACAUCUCAGUACCCGUAGGAGGAGAAAAUAAUAAUGAUUCUGCUAGUAGUGGCGAACGAACGUGGAUGAGGCUAAACCGUGUGCAUGUGAUACCUGGUAGGGGUUGUGUGUGCGGUGUUGUGGGCCCCAACGUGCGGUGACUGCCAUCAUCGUGCUUGUGUGUUGUUGUUAGGUGAAGUGGUUUGGAAUUACCUGCCGGAGAAGGUGAGAGUCCUGUAGUUGAAGACAAUGGCAUGCGGGUUGUUGGGUUGCCCGAGUAGCAGCGGGCUCGUGGAAUCUGUUGUGAA